UACGAAGGGGGCUAGCGUUGCUCGGAAUUACUGGGCGUAAAGCGCACGUAGGCGGCUUUCUAAGUCGGGGGUGAAAUCCUGGAGCUCAACUCCAGAACUGCCUCGAUACUGGAAAGCUCGAGUCCGGGAGAGGUGAGUGGAACUGCGAGUGUAGAGGUGAAAUUCGUAGAUAUUCGCAAGAACACCAGUGGCGAAGGCGGCUCACUGGCCCGGUACUGACGCUGAGGUGACGAAAGCGUGGGGAGCAAACAGG
rnacentral:rRNA from 1 species